rnacentral:rRNA from 1 species
UGGAUGUUUGGCUUAGAAGCAGCCAUCAUUUAAAGAAAGCGUAACAGCUCACUGGUCUAAACAAGGGUCUUUGCGCCGAAAAUAUAACGGGGCUAAAGCCAUGCACCGAAGCUGAGGCUUGUAGAUGAAGAUCUACAGGGGUAGCGGAGCGUUCCGUAAGCCUGUGAAGGGGUAUCCGUGAGGGGCCUUGGAGGUAUCGGAAGUGCGAAUGUUGACAUGAGUAACGAUAAAGAGGGUGAGAGACCCUCUCGCUGAAAGACCAAGGGUUCCUGCUUAAAGUUAAUCUGAGCAGGGUUAGCCGGCCCCUAAGACGAGGCUGGAAACGCGUAGUCGAUGGGAACCGCAGUUGAUAUUCGCGGGCCUGGCGGUAGUGACGGAUUGCGUAACUUGUUCAAUCUUACUGGAUUGAUUGGGCGAGGAAGCAGUUCCAGGAAAUAGCUCCGCCAAUAUAGACCGUACCCGAAACCGACACAGGUGGUCAGGUAGAGUAUACCAAGGCGCUUGAGAGAACUAUGCUAAAG